AAAAAAGUGACCAGUGUGACAGUGCGGAUAUGGUGAGGGGUACAAGAGCACAGUGUACAUCAGGGUGUGAGGUGCAGUGGCAUGUCCAGGUUCAGAAGCCUUAUGGCCUGGGGGUACAAGAGCACAGUGUACAUCAGGGUGUGAGGUGCAGUGGCAUGUCCAGGUUCAGAAGCCUUAUGGCCUGGGGGUACAAGAGCACAGUGUACAUCAGGGUGUGAGGUGCAGUGGCAUGUCCAGGUUCAGAAGCCUUAUGGCCUGGGGGUACAAG